rnacentral:lncRNA from 1 species
UUUGCCGAUGAGUUCCCUUCAGCCUCUGGAGGUUGCUCUGAACUCUGUUAGUUCUUCUCUCACUUUCUUUUUCCUGCCAGGGUAAUAGGAAUGGUCUGUCCUUUUGUUUCACUGAAACUCUGAAUUUAUAACCUGAUUUUUGUGGACCUGUGGGCUCAAAUGAGAGAGGCCCAAGUCCAAAAUUUUUUAUUAUAUUUUAUUUUUUUAUUU